rnacentral:lncRNA from 1 species
CAACAACAACCACAAUCAAAAGGUAAGAUUUUUUUUCAACCACAAUCAAAAGGUAAGAUUUUUUUUAAAUGUAUUUAAAGUCUCUUUUUAAAAAAUUUUUUAAAAGGAUUUCUUUUUAAAAAAAGUAUUAUGUGUUUUUAUUUUUAAUACUAAACAUUUUUUAAUUUGCAGUGCAACAACAACCUGGUAAGAAAUUAAUUUCAUGUUUUUAAAUAAUCUCUUUUAUAAAAAAACCUAUUUUUAUUUGUUGUGUUGUUGAUAUCAAUUUGUUUUUCUUUUACUUAAUUAUUUUUUUUUAUCUCUUUUUAUAUUUUAACUUGAAACACAACAACCACCACAAUCUGAUAAGAAAGAAACCUUUUGUUUUAAUGUAUUUAAAUCUUUUUUUUAAAAUUUCUUAAUAAUUUGUGUUUUUCUUUUUCUUUACUAACGCAUUUUUUUUUAAUCUGUAUUAAUUUUUUUAGUACAACCACAACAACAACCAUAAUCAGUGAACUUUCAACUAAUGUUUUUGCAAUCUAUGGAAGAAAUGUUCCGGGCACCAUCAUUGUCAAUGGCAGCAGCUGGCACAACUCUAAGCAACAAUAACAACAACAACAACAACAACAACAAGUGAACCAUCUGCUAUAAAGGCAGCUGCUGCUGAUAAUGUACUUUUGAAAGCUGCAAAAAAAUGUUCCAACAAAAACCUACUAUUGAGGCAAGUUGUAACAGUCCAUUGGGUUAGUUGAAUCAUAAUAUGAAAAAAACUUUUUUGGGAUGAAACUUGAUAUAUCCAACAAUGAAAAAUAUUGAAAACCUAGUAAACACGUAUAAAAGAAGUGUAAAAGAUGUCUUUAAGACAUCGUGUGUUAGCUGUUAUCAAGUACAUUUCAGGCAUCAUACUUUCGUUGUGUUUGAGUUGGAAAGUUAUUAAGUACAUUUCAGACGUCAUCAAGUACAUUUAAGACGUUGUGUGUUAGCUGGAAAGUUACCAAGUACAUUUCAGGGUAUCUUAAUAAUAAAAUGGUCUUGGUUGGUGUUAUAUAAGAACCAAAUAUUUGAAAAAGUGUAUUAAAAAAGAUUCACUAAAAAGAGUUUUUUUAUCUGAUAAAAGUAUCCAUUAUUGUGAGAUAAAAGUAUCCAUUAUUGUGAGAUACAAGUAUCCAUUAUUGUGAGAUAAAAGCAUCCAUUAAUGUGAGAAAUUGUUGUUGAAUAAUGAGAUUAUAUAAA